AUUCGAAAGACUAUUGGGGGGCAUUGUUGAUGCCAAAAUUGAAAUUAAUAUGCCGAUCUAACCCACGUAUGAGCCAAUAAGGACACAUGGUACACCAGGAGUCGGUAGUAAAGCGCCUGAAGGUUUUAGGCGGGAACGGUUAAGAAGUAGGCAUAACUUCCACGAUGGAGCGUAACUUCCAUGAGGAGUGGGCGUAACUUCCACGAUCAUGGUUACAACCACUCCCCCCAGGCCCCCACUACUUUCAACCGACCAAUAAUGUGGGCUGAGAAGAUAUCACUAUAAAUAGUAACUUCAAAGCCUGUAAUAGAGGUCUUUCUCCAUCCUGAACAAGAAGACCACCCUUAUUUCCUCUGCAUUUUUGUCGCUUUUCUAGGAGUAGUCUAAAUGUAAUCUUUUUCUUUUCCGCAUUUACUGCUUUUCUACGAGUAGUUCGCUAAGUAGAACCCUGGAGUCUGUCUGCCCCACGGGCAUCACUCCGUUGUAAACUACAUUUGCAGAGUCUGUCUGCCCUACGGGCAUCACUCUGUUGUAAACUAUAUUUCUGAGUCUGUAUACCCUUCGGGCACACUCUUUUAUAUUAUUAUAUAAAGGCUUUCGGCUCUUUCAGCCGACCAGUCAUUGUGUACUUCUUCCAUUCGGCUUUUUCAGCCGACCAGUCAUUGUGUACUUCUUCCAUUCGGCUCUUUCAGCCGACCAGUUACUGUGUACUUCUUCGAUUCGGCACUUCUGCCGACAUUGAUCUCUGCACAGUUCGUACAUUUGGCUCUUCCAGCUGAACCAGUUUUAUAGUGAAGGUUUUCGAAUCCGGCUGAUUUGAUCCCUCAUCAGCCGAAUCGCUUGAUCCAGUUGAAGGGCGCAAACUUCGAGGGUCACUAUCCGCAGCCGUUUUUCACUCCGACGCGCUUUCCGAGGAGGAUUUUU
rnacentral:lncRNA from 1 species